GAGAGGUGCUGCAUGGCUGUCGUCAGCUCGUGUUGUGAAAUGUUGGGUUAAGUCUCGCAACGAGCGCGACCCCUAUCGUCUGUUGCCAGCAUUAAGUUGGGCACUCUGACGAGACUGCCUGGGUUAACCAGGAGGAAGGUGGGGAUGACGUCAAGUCCUCAUGGCCCUUAUGUCUAGGGUUACACACGUAAUACAAUGGCGCGUACAAAGGGAAGCGAACUCGCAAGGGGGAGCAAAUCUCAAAAAGCGCAUCUCAGUCCGGAUUGGAGUCUGCAACUCGACUCCAUGAAGUUGGAAUCGCUAGUA
rnacentral:rRNA from 1 species